GAAUGCUGACAUAAGUAACGAUAAAGCGGGUGAAAAGCCCGCUCGCCGGAAGACCAAGGGUUCCUGUCCAACGUUAAUCGGGGCAGGGUGAGUCGACCCCUAAGGCGAGGCCGAAAGGCGUAGUCGAUGGGAAACGGGUUAAUAUUCCCGUACUUGGUGUUACUGCGAAGGGGGGACGGAGAAGGCUAUGUUGGCCGGGCGACGGUUGUCCCGGUUUAAGCGUGUAGGUGUGUGUUCCAGGUAAAUCCGGUUCACUUUAACACUGAGGCGUGACGACGAGGCACUACGGUGCUGAAGCAACAAAUGCCCUGCUUCCAGGAAAAGCCUCUAAGCAUCAGGUAACAU
rnacentral:rRNA from 5 species